rnacentral:misc_RNA from 1 species
GAUGAAGAACGUAGCGAAAUGCGAUAAGUAGUGUGAAUUGCAGACUUUAGUGAAUCAUCGAAUUUUUGAACGCAAAUUGCGCCCCUUGGUUAUUCCGAAGGGCAUGCCUGUUCGAGCGUCAUUAUCACCCCUCAAGCCCUGGCUUGGUGUUGGACUUUAGUUAUAGCUUUGCCUAUCAACUGGUCUCAAAGAUAGUGGCGGCGCCCCAGAGGGAACCGGGUACGAGGAGCUUUUUACUAAGCAUGUAUCUGGGACGACUCUGGGCGACGGUCUUGUUAUACUUUUUACCUAAGUGUUGACCUCGGAUCAGGUAGGAAUACCCGCUGAACUUAAGCAUAUCAAUAAGCGGAGGA